rnacentral:lncRNA from 1 species
AAAUCAUACUAUAAACUAAAGCUCUUAAAAUCUAAUAUUUAGGUAGUGUGACAAAUUAAAUAGUAAUAUGUAGAAGAAUGUACUAGAUCUAAAUAAGUUUUAUGGGGUUUCUGAUUUUUUUAAUUUUUUUAAAUUUUUUUUUUUUUUUGGUAGAGAGUAAUGAAACCAACUAAAUCCGUAUUUUAUAUUGAAGUCCAUGACCUAGUCAUUAGGCAUGGAACCGAAAGAUUUAAGUCAAUUCAAUAUCCAUUUUAUUAUGAAUCGACACACAUCAUCAAUUAAAAAAGCAACUCGAUCUACUCAAGACUUUGUAUAAAUUAUAGGUCGUGUGAC